rnacentral:rRNA from 1 species
AGUGAACGCUGGCGGUAGGCCUAACACAUGCAAGUCGAACGGCAGCACAGUAAGAGCUUGCUCUUACGGGUGGCGAGUGGCGGACGGGUGAGGAAUACAUCGGAAUCUACUUUUUCGUGGGGGAUAACGUAGGGAAACUUACGCUAAUACCGCAUACGACCUACGGGUGAAAGCAGGGGAUCUUCGGACCUUGCGCGAUUGAAUGAGCCGAUGUCGGAUUAGCUAGUUGGCGGGGUAAAGGCCCACCAAGGCGACGAUCCGUAGCUGGUCUGAGAGGAUGAUCACACAAACUGGAACUGAGACACGGUCCGGACUCCUGCGGGAGGCAGCAGUCGGGAAUAUUGAGCAAUGGGCGCAAGCCUGAUCCAGCCAUACCGCGUGGGUGAAGAAGGCCUUCGGGUUGUAAAGACCUGUUGUUGGGAAAGAAAAGCAGCAGGUUAAUACCCCGCUGUUAUGACGGUACCCAAAGAAUAAGCACCGGCUAACUUCGUG